AGUAACUGGCCGAAAGUCACGCAGCCAGCGGACUAGAACCCAUCUCUUCCCGACUCCAAAAGCAGCAAAACAUCUUUGUGGCCCAAGAAGCGCCAAGUGUUCAGUUCUCCAAAGGGAGCCAGAGAAGGGAGCAAGCUCCUCUCUGUUUCCUGCUCCUCACUAAAAAGGCAAGAAUUGGAAACGAGAUGUUGCAGAGGUGGGGACCCAAAGCCUCCAGCCCCUCACUUUGCUGGGCUCUGAUCCCCUGUGCCAUCUCCCCAGCCCUCUCAAGAAGACAGGCAACCUUUGUUGAAGAUUUGCAUGGUGAUGCCACAGCCCUCCAAGACUGCAGCGGAGACUCCUUGGACCGCCUCCAGAACUGGAGACUCAUAGAAUGUUAUCCAGGAUGGGAGGGAGGAGACCAGAGAAAGAGAUACACAAGGAGAAGCAUGCUCCUCAGGCUCCAUGUGCACUCGAACCAUGUGGGCAUCCUGGCUUCCCUGGCGGCUCAGUCGGUAACGAAUCCACCUGCAAGGUAGGAAACUGGGGUUCAAUCCUUGGGCUGGGAAGAUCCCCUGGAGAAGGAAAUGGCAACCCAUUCCAGUAUUCCUGCCUAGAAAAUCCCAUGGACUGAGGAGCCUGGCGGGCUACAGUCCAUGGGGUUGCCAGGAGUUGGACACAACUUAGCAACUAAACCACCAACCACCUACCAGGUCUGGAGAGGGGCCUGAGAACCUGCAUUUCUGAAAAGCAGUCAAGGGGAUAGACAACUCUUUGAACACAAGGGUCUGAGUUCAGUGGUGUUCCCGUUUACAUUUUUCAGUAUGUCUGUAAAUUUGCCCAAGAUUUAGAAAAUACAGCCCAAACAGAUAGUCAGAGUGGCAAAACUAUUCUCCCUAAAACUAAAUUCCUUAAUAAAUACUUUGUUGUAAAAAUACGUGUGAGAAUA
ensembl:lncRNA